GCCUUCGUGGUGUAGUGGUCAGCACACUCGACAUGUAUACGAGAGGUUCGCGGUUCGAGUCCCGACGAGAUCA
rnacentral:tRNA from 1 species